AAUUGGGGAUAACUCUUCGAAAGGGGAGUUAAUACCGAAUAAUAUUCUAAUUCUCUCGGGAGUUGGAUUCAAAGGUGGCCUCUGCAUGCAAGCUAUCGUUUAAGGAUGGGCCCGCGUACCAUUAGCUAGUUGGUAGGGUAAUAGCCUACCAAGGCAACGAUGGUUAGCUGGUCUGAGAGGAUGGCCAGCCACACUGGAACUGAGACACGGUCCAGACUCCUACGGGAGGCAGCAGUGGGGAAUCUUGCGCAAUGGGGGAAACCCUGACGCAGCAACGCCGCGUGGGUGAUGAAGGUCUUCGGGUCGUAAAGCCCUGUCAGGUGGAAAGAAACUUGUGGAUGUUAAUACCAUCCACACUUGACGGUACCACCGGAGGAAGCACCGGCUAACUCCGUGCCAGCAGCCGCGGUAAUACGGAGGGUGCAAGCGUUGUUCGGAACUAUUGGGCGUAAAGCGCGUGCAGGUGGACGGGUAAGUCAGAUGUGAAAGCCUUCUGCUUAACAGAAGAAGUGCAUUUGAAACUGCUCGGCUAGAGUACGGGAGAGGAGAGUGGAAUUCCCGGUGUAGAGGUGAAAUUCGUAGAUAUCGGGAGGAACACCAGUGGCGAAGGCGGCUCUCUGGUCCGAUACUGACACUGAGACGCGAAAGCGUGGGGAGCAAACAGGAUUAGAUACCCUGGUAGUCCACGCCGUAAACGAUGGGCACUAGGUGUAGGAGGUAUUGACCCCUUCUGUGCCGAAGCUAACGCAUUAAGUGCCCCGCCUGGGGAGUACGGCCGCAAGGCUAAAACUCAAAGGAAUUGACGGGCCCCCGCACAAGCGGUGGAGCAUGU
rnacentral:rRNA from 1 species